GCGCCGGUGGUGUAAAGGCGUAGAGCAUUCCCGCCCGGUCAGAGGGAGGUGCGGGUUCGACUCCCGCCUGGCGCU
rnacentral:tRNA from 1 species